rnacentral:rRNA from 1 species
UACGUAGGGGGCAAGCGUUGUCCGGAAUCAUUGGGCGUAAAGCGCGUGUAGGCGGUCCGGUAAGUCGGCUGUGAAAGUCCAGGGCUCAACCCUGGGAUGCCGGUCGAUACUGCCGGACUAGAGUUCGGAAGAGGCGAGUGGAAUUCCCGGUGUAGCGGUGAAAUGCGCAGAUAUCGGGAGGAACACCAAUAGCGAAGGCAGCUCGCUGGGACGUUUACUGACGCUGAGACGCGAAAGCGUGGGGAGCGAACGAGG